CGAGUGCGGCAACGCACCUCGUGCAAAGAGAAGUCAGCAGAGGGCAUAGUAUUCGACCCACGCGGUCGUCGAAGGCC
rnacentral:ncRNA from 1 species